ACUGCCAUACCACGUUGAGUAAACCGGUUCUCGUACCAUCAGUGAAGUUAAGCAACCUCGAGCUUGGUCAGUACCUAGAUGGGUGACUACUUGGAAAUACCAGGUGCUGUAAG